rnacentral:misc_RNA from 1 species
CUUCAUUUAAGCCGGCCUGUGUACAAUUGGAAAAUAAUAUUGUACAUAAUACCUAGACCAGGAUUUGAAAGGCCUGCAGGUAGUUCAUCACCACGCUCAUUUUUGGAACCUGUUCCUAUCACUGAGAAGGGCUUGAUUCCAGCAGAUUUUGUAUUGGAAGAUCCAGAUUCUCACUUUAUUUAUGUGUGUAAAAAGAUGGAUGAAACAACAGAGCUCCAUAGCAUACCUGACCACCCAUUGAUGGCUAAUGUUUUGUAGGAUUAAGGCACUAAGGUAGUAUUUACUAUAGAUGAUUUUUGCUGCUUGUACCAUAAGGACUAGUCAUUGGUGAGCUUUGAGUAUUUGUUACAAAAGAGGGAUUGUAUAUUGUUAUUUCUGACAUAUCAGAUUUGGAUCUGGACAUGAAGAAGUAAACGAAUAGGAAGAAUUAACCAUAUCAG